CCUCUGUUGUCCGAGGCUGGAGGGUAGUAGUGCUAUCACAGCUGACUGCAGCCUCAACCUUCCAGGCUGAAGCGAUCCUCCCAUCUCAACCUCCCACGUGGCUGAGACUACAGGUGCUUGCCACUACGCCCAACUGAUAUUUGGUAUUUUCGUAUACGUGGAUUCCAGAGGGGUGACAGUGAAACGUGGGACCAUCCAGUUUCAGGAAAACAAGCUUAACACGCCCACUGAUUCUACAUUAUGAUUCUUCAGGCCCAGCAUCUGCCUCACUGUGGACCCCCCAAGCCAAGCUCCCAACCUUUCAGCAGCUUCUACACACCCAGCUCCCGCCUGCCAGUGGCCUCUUCAGGCCCAUGGGGCUCAUUCCUCACAACAGCCUUUCCAGUCCCAGUUUUUCCCUUCCGGCGGCCUCUCCGGGCUGAGAACCUCCUCAAGUCGGCCUCUCCAGACUCACUUGCACCCUCCAGGCGUCCUCUCCGGGCCAAGCUCCUCUUCCUGGCUGCGUCUCCAGGCCUGACUCCUGCCUCUCAACAACCUCUUUGGACUCAGUGCCUACCCAUCUCCUGGCGUCCUUGGUCGGCCCACAGCUUCCUCAAGCCAAGCUCCCCAGGCCCAGGUCAGGCCUCACGGUGCCCCCUCCACGAUGAGCUCCUGCCCUCCAAUGGCACCUGCAGGACCCAAAUGGUCUCCGGUCGGUGGGCUCCUCCACGCCAAGCUUGGGCCUCCCGGUGACCUCUGCAGGCCCAAGUUGUCCUGAAGUCGGCAUCUCCCAGCCAUGCCUCCCAGCAAGUAAGCAAGCUCUUUUGGCUCAACUCCUGCCCAGCUCCCAACCGCCUUUGUAGGUCCCGAACUUUCUCCAGCCAAGUUCUUUGGGCCUCAUUCCUGCCGCCCGGUGGCCUGUACGGGCCCAGCAAUGGUUGGAGAACGGCCUCUGCAGGUCCCGCUCUUGCCUCCCAGGGGCCUCUCCAGGCCCAGCUCUUGCCCCCACGGCGGCC